UACGUAGGGUGCAAGCGUUGUCCGGAAUUAUUGGGCGUAAAGAGCUCGUAGGCGGUCUGUCGCGUCGGCUGUGAAAACCCGGAGCUCAACUCCGGGCCUGCAGUCGAUACGGGCAAACUGGAGUACUGCAGGGGAGACUGGAACUCCUGGUGUAGCGGUGAAAUGCGUAGAGAUCUGGAGGAAUACCGGUGGCGAAGGCGGCCCCCUGGACAAAGACUGACGCUCAGGUGCGAAAGCGUGGGGAGCAAACAGG
rnacentral:rRNA from 1 species